rnacentral:tRNA from 1 species
GGAUUGUGGCUCAGAGGUAGAGCAUUCGCCUAGCACAUGCGAAGCCAUGGGUUCGAUCUCAGCACCA